UUACCUAGGCUAUCUAAAUCUACCUAUAAU
rnacentral:sRNA from 1 species